rnacentral:rRNA from 1 species
UACAGAGGGUGCGAGCGUUGUUCGGAAUUAUUGGGCGUAAAGGGUAGGUAGGUGGUCUCAUUUGUCUGGGGUGAAAGCCUUGAGCUCAACUCAAGAAGUGCCCCAGAAACGGUGAGACUCGAGUCUCGGAGAGGGUCGUGGAAGUUCCCGGUCGUAGCCGGUGAAAUGCGUAGAGAUCGGGAGGAACACCAGAGGCGAAGGCGGCGACCUGGACGAGCACUGACACUCAACUACGAAAGCGUGGGAGCAAACAGG